AAACUAACAAGGAUUCCCCUAGUAACGGCGAGCGAACCGGGAAGAGCUCAAAUUUAAAAUCUGGCGUCUUUCAGGCGUCCGAGUUGUAAUCUAUAGAGGCGUUUUCUGUGCUGGACCGUGUCCAAGUUCCUUGGAACAGGAUAUCAAAGAGGGUGAGAAUCCCGUAUUUGACACGAUCACCAGGGCUUGAUGAUACGCUCUCGACGAGUCGAGUUGUUUGGGAAUGCAGCUCUAAAUGGGUGGUAAAUUCCAUCUAAAGCUAAAUAUUGGCGAGAGACCGAUAGCGAACAAGUACCGUGAGGGAAAGAUGAAAAGCACUUUGGAAAGAGAGUGAAACAGUAUGUGAAAUUGUUGAAAGGGAAACGAUUGAAGUCAGUCGUGUUAGAUGGGUUCACUCUUACGAGGUAUUCCUGUCUAAUGGGCCAACAUCAGUUUGAACCGGUGGAUAAUAGCAUUAAGAAAGUAGCUCUUCCGGGAGUGUUAUAGCUUGGUGUUGCAUACAUUGGUCCAGACUGAGGAACGCAGCUUGCCGUAAGGCUUGGUUUCGGCCAAAUACAAGCUUAGGAUGUUGGCAUAAUGGCUUUAAACGAC
rnacentral:rRNA from 1 species